rnacentral:rRNA from 1 species
GAUGAACGCUGGCGGCGUGCCUAAUACAUGCAAGUCGAGCGAACAGACGAGGAGCUUGCUCCUCUGACGUUAGCGGCGGACGGGUGAGUAACACGUGGAUAACCUACCUAUAAGACUGGGAUAACUUCGGGAAACCGGAGCUAAUACCGGAUAAUAUAUUGAACCGCAUGGUUCAAUAGUGAAAGACGGUUUUGCUGUCACUUAUAGAUGGAUCCGCGCCGCAUUAGCUAGUUGGUAAGGUAACGGCCUACCAAGGCAACGAUGCGUAGCCGACCUGAGAGGGUGAUCAGCCACACUGGAACUGAGACACGGUCCAGACUCCUACGGGAGGCAGCAGUGGGGAAUCUUCCGCAAUGGGCGAAAGCCUGACCGAGCAACGCCGCGUGGGUGAUGAAGGUCUUCGGGUCGUAAAACCCUGUUAUUGGGGAAGAAAAAAUGUGUAAGUAACUAUGGCCGUUUUGACGGUACCUAAACAAAAAGCCACGGCUAACUUCGUG